rnacentral:lncRNA from 1 species
AAGUAUUUGUUUAUAAUUUAAUCGGAUUAAGAUAAGCCUUAGUAAUAGUAAUGGUGUGAUCUUUGUGCUGUAGAAUCUCUGAGCCUGGGUUUUGUCGUUUAGCUAAUGGCAACUCCGUCAAAAUCAAAAUCAAAAUCAAAAGUGGCUUCUACCACAACUCACCAUUCCAUAACGCUCUCUCUGAUCUUUUCUUUUGAGCGUAGAAAAUCACUUCACUUUCAUGAACCUCUCUAUUUCUUAUUUAUAAUAUGCGAGCAUUUUAACUCUUUUAAUAAAUAGUACAUUUUAAUUGGUAAAUUUGUUCCUGCCAGGAUGUUAAGCUAGCUGACCUUCAAAAGAUGAUAGUAUAACAAAGCUCAAUUCUUUAGCCCAACUACAAAAGAUCAACAUGGUUAAUUCCUUAAUUUAGUUAAGUACAGAGCAGAGUGUUGAAGGGUUGCUCAAUUAACUAAAAUUAAAGAUUUCGCAUGUGGACAGCGAUCAUGCUUAAAUAAAUAAAGUUCAGAUCACAAAAUGCUUCCACUUGAUAAGUACAAAAAUUAUGCAAAUUCAGCUAAAUGAUACUGAACUCAUUGCUCAAGAGUUGUUGUACUCAUUAGCACCACAACAAAAGAUGGCAGCAAUGGAAUGAGCCAAGCCCAAUACAACUGCAACCUUCACUUGUCCCCUCUUUGGAAUUGGACGCCCAGAGAACAUCCUGGGAAAGCUUUUUCCAUCCUUCAUCUCACCCAAAUCUGCUUCUUUUCUUCUACUUCUAGACCUUCCACGUUUGCCUAUUAUAUAGACCGCAUGUUACUAAAGUGCCUCGCUUUGGGGCUAUACUUCAUUCAAAUCCCUUCC